CAUCCGUAUUACCAUGGUUACGGGAAUGCAAAACUUCAAACUUGCAAAUUUUGCAAGUGUAAAGAAUUGUAGCAGUAUUGCAUUUGCUACACAAUCAUCCUAUCUAGAAUAACUGGAUUAUUUGGUUGCAAAUAAACAAAUAACUGCAGGUUUAACAGCCUAACAAACUAUAUGACAUGUCAGUCAUACAAAAGUCCCUUUUCCUUUUGACAUAAGGUGUAUGAAAUAUG